CGAUAAUUAUUCCAAGAAAAAGCGCCUCGUCGUGACGAAAAUCCCGAACAAUUUCAACGUCGUCGGUGUAAUCGGCGGCGGUUUUUUUUUUUAUUUGUUUUUUUUUUCUCUACGUUUUCGGCCGGGAAAAAAACGCGUUCCCGGAUCGGAUAUUUUAUUUUCCGUAAAAACAUGUUCGUCGCACCGGCGCGCGUGCAUAUCAUUAUAAU